rnacentral:rRNA from 1 species
UGAGAGGAUGAUCAGCACAUCGGGACUGAGACACGGCCGAACUCUACGGGAGGCAGCAGUGGGGAAUAUGGACAAUGGGGGCAACCUGAUCCAGCCGUGCCGCGUGUGUGAAGAAGGCCCUCGGGUUGUAAAGCACUUUCAGCGAGGAAGAACGCCUAGUGGUUAAUACCCAUUAGGAAAGACAUCACUCGCAGAAGAAGCACCGGCUAACUCCGUGCCAGCAGCCGCGGUAAUACGGAGGGUGCAAGCGUUAAUCGGAAUUACUGGGCGUAAAGCGCGCGUAGGUGGCUUGAUAAGCCGGUUGUGAAAGCCCCGGGCUCAACCUGGGAACGGCAUCCGGAACUGUCAGGCUAGAGUGCAGGAGAGGAAGGUAGAAUUCCCGGUGUAGCGGUGAAAUGCGUAGAGAUCGGGAGGAAUACCAGUGGCGAAGGCGGCCUUCUGGACUGACACUGACACUGAGGUGCGAAAGCGUGGGUAGCAAACAGGAUUAGAUACCCUGGUAGUCCACGCCGUAAACGAUGUCGACCAGCCGUUGGGUGCCUAGCGCACUUUGUGGCGAAGUUAACGCGAUAAGUCGACCGCCUGGGGAGUACGGCCGCAAGGUUAAAACUCAAAUGAAUUGACGGGGGCCCGCACAAGCGGUGGAGCAUGUGGUUUAAUUCGAUGCAACGCGAAGAACCUUACCUACCCUUGACAUCGACAGAAGCCGAGAGAGAUCUUGGUGUGCCUUCGGGAACUGUCAGACAGGUGCUGCAUGGCUGUCGUCAGCUCGUGUUGUGAAAUGUUGGGUUAAGUCCCGUAACGAGCGCAACCCUUGUCCUUAUUUGCCAGCACGUAAUGGUGGGAACUCUAAGGAGACUGCCGGUGACAAACCGGAGGAAGGUGGGGACGACGUCAAGUCAUCAUGGCCCUUACGGGUAGGGCUACACACGUGCUACAAUGGCCGGUACAAAGGGCAGCGAACUCGCGAGAGUCAGCGAAUCCCUUAAAGCCGGUCUCAGUCCGGAUCGGAGUCUGCAACUCGACUCCGUGAAGUCGGAAUCGCUAGUAAUCGGAAUCAGAA